rnacentral:lncRNA from 1 species
CCCCCCUUCCGUUUUUCCGUAUCUCUCUCUCUCUCUCUCAUUUUCUCUCCCGUGGAUCUCUCCCUGUUACUCUCUCUCUCUCUUUCCACCGUAUGUUCUCACUCUUCUGAAUAUAUCUCUUUUCUUUCUACUCUGGGCUAGCUUCUGAGGGGCUUUGCUUCCUUCUGCUCCCACCCCAUGAUCAGGUCUACCUGUGAUAAGAAGCAGGGUAAGGUUGAUAUCCAUUUCCCCCAUUGAAAAUUAGAGAUUGAUCGGAUUUUUGAGAAUUUUAAAAAUUAUUUUGAAUAUUAGCGUGUCGUUGAGCAAAUCCAAUUGUUAGGUCUUGAAGCAUUUAUGUGUGUAACCAGAUUAAACUUAUCUUAAUUCUUAUCAUUUGUGAGAUAAGUGACUUAAUACUUUUUGGCAUGCUUUUAAAAUAAUUUAAUAAUUUUCAUAUCUCUUUAAUUGAAUAGUCCAGCAUGCUACAUUAUUUUUGAUUUAUGAAUAAAUACAUAUUUUGAUAUUUUCACAAGUAAAUGAUUGGAAUAUAUGAUCUGCUCUGAGUAAGGAUUUUACAAAAAACACGACUAAGUAACUUAUGAAAUCACUUUCGUAUACAUUUCGUAUGGCUAUGAUCUAUUCUGAUCCCACAAAUGGAGAUUAUAUAUUGGAUCUGUCGAUUUGUAAUCUGAGAAACUAGUUUCCAUACCACACCAUCGGUAAUUAGAAUAGUGGACAUUUAUCUGAUCCAUACCACUGAGUUACGUGGCUAUAGCUAAAUAUCGGAGCUAGUAUUAUUUUAUGGAAAGCAAGUUUUGAAAAAUAAAAGAAGUAUUAUUCUUUGAUAUUUGUUAUUAUUGAAUUUUGCCCAGUCAGUAAUAUCUGUUUAAUUUUAUUAUAAAUUAAUAUACUUUGACUUAUCUUGAAGUAUUUUAUUAUUUACUGGGAUAGUGUAGCUCAUUAUUGUUCUCUUUUUAUUUUUCAGAUUUUGAUUUGAGAGAGCGCGCUAGUUAUCCGAAGCAUUUAGGAGAUCUUAAUUUGCAAGAAUCAAGAUUGUCAUGUUAUUAAUUUAAAAUUAUUAUAAAAUAGUUAGAUUUAUCUAUUUUUUAAGUCUGUCUUGCAUAUCUGUAGGGUCCAUCUCACAGAUAUGCGGUGUCUGUUGCAAGCUCGGUUCGAGGCGCGACACCCAGCAUAAAACAAGUCUUUAGGGUAUAGCUAGAAAGAAUUCAAGCUAAUCAAAGUAGCUUAGUAUUGGCUUGAUCAUAAGCUCAUUUAACUAUAGAUUGCUAGGAAAUGAGUUGAGCUCAAACAAAUUCCGAAAGCUUGGCUCCUAAAUCAGCAAAGCCUGGAUUUUAAAAGCUUACAAAAUAUAUGAAAGCUUGGUGUAGAUCUUGGAUGAGUCGAGUUCGAACACCUUCCAUUAAGCUUAACUCACGUUCGACUCAUACUCAAUCAGCUCUUUUACAUAGCGCUCAAUUAGCAUGGCUUGUUCACCCCCCAAGCCUCAGGUUGUGAUGGAUACGAUGUUUAACACUCCCCAGAAAUAAUAUAAGAUACGAUAAAAAUAUCCGUUAGAAAUUAAAAAAAGUAUUGAAGCUGAUUUUUGGGAAGCCUAGGAGCUUUUCUAUAAAAAUCACAAAAUUGGACGAGCUAGCAAUACAUAGUUUUCAAAGAUCACUUGCAAUAGAAGGGGACAAGAUAAAGGUCUGUAAGACUGGUAAGCCUCCUUUAUACCUGGUGACACGAUAUCUCACGUGACCACCGGAAAGAAAUAAGCAUGCCAUUGUGUGGAUGGAUCCUUUGAUCUCAUGCAGGGAUCGAAAUGGGUCAGGUUCUGGUUGGGUUGAAACAGGUUCAAAAGAAAUAGACCAAUAUGCAGGUGUCGAAAUGGGUCGGAUUUGUAUUGGGUUGAAACAGAUUCCUGUCAAAAAAACACCCAACCCAUACUCAUUCAUAAAAUGGAUUGGUAUCGGGAUUGAUAAUUACUGACCUAAACUUAAAAAUAGCCAACUUGAACCAGUAUUGGUUUGGGUGGGUUCAUGCGGAUUGAAAGUUGGAGUUGGGUUUUGCCGGCCUUAAUAAUCUUACCGUCCUAAAAUAUUGAAUUUGAAACUUUGAUGAAUGCUUGAUCGUCCCACCAAUAUCCAUAAAAUUUUGCUAUGGUACUCUAUAAAUAUUAUUUUAUUAUAAAAAAUAUUUAAAAUAUUUUACUAUCAUAUUUUUAUAAUUUUAUUAUUUUUCUAAAUAUAAUAUUUUAUUUUUAAAAUUUUUCUUCUUGUUCUUCGUAAUUUCUUUUGGCCGGCCGUCUUUCCACCGCCACCCACUGCCCCCCAUCCUCCUCCUUCGCCCGCCCUCCCCUCAUGACAUCACUCACGGCUUCUCCACUCCCAUCCGAACCCCCGAUGCCACCCGCAACUCCUCCGCCC